AUAUCAUAUAACGGCUACUGGUGGAAAGCUUAAGGUUGAGAUUGAGGUCAAGUCUCCUGCUGAUAAAUUAUGGGAAGCUAUCAGAGACUUCACCAUUCUCUAUCCCAAAGCCUUUUCUCACGAUGACAAGAGCAUUGAAGUUCUUGAGGGCGACGGCAAGGCCCCUGGCUCUGUUUGUCUCAUUGCACAUGCUGAAGGUUCACCCAAUUGUUAAGAUAUCGACUGAGAAGAUCAAAGCUGUAGAUGAUGUGAAGAAGGAGGUUACUUACAAUGUCAUUGCUGGGGAUCUCUUGAAGUACUAAAAGGUUUGCAAGGGCAUCAGAAGUCCAGAGGGAGAUGGGAGCUUGGUGAAAUGGUCAUGCGAAUAUGAAAAAGCAAGCAAUGAAAUUCCUGAUCCAAGCGUUAUCAAUGAAUUUACUGUCAAGAUCUUUAAAUAAGUCGAUGACCACAAAACCAAGACAUAGAGGCAUCUUCCUUCAGGACAGUUGUGUUUUGCCAUUGUAAAAUAAGCUUACACUAUGUAAUAGUUGGGUCAAGUUUAUGCUACUCUGUACAUUAAAUAAACUUUGUGUUCUCCUAGAGCCCAGUCAUAGUGACAAGUUAAAUAAUAAGUUGCUCUUAAGAUCGUUAAAGAUAUCUGAUUGUGGCCAAACAAAGUU